rnacentral:rRNA from 1 species
UACACACCGCCCGUCACACCAUGGGAGUUGGUUCUACCCGAAGACAGUAAGCUAACCGCAAGGAGGCUGCUGGCCACGGUAGGGUCAGCGACUGGGGUG